GCGGGUCCUGUGGGGGAGAGAAAAGCACCCUGCGAGGUCUGGAAAGUGGACCAAACAAAACCCAGAGCCCCAGCCCUGGGCCUUCCUGCCGCCUCUUAAUUAAAAUCCUGCAGGAAUUUGGGGAAAAGGAGGAGAACAGGCACAAUAAAGGAGGCUGCAGGGGAUCCUAUCCCUGGUGUUGCUUGGCUUGAGGAGCUCAGCAAGGAGCCUGGUCCAGUGUCCUGUGGAGGUGAUGGAGCCAGUGCUGCUCAGCAAACCUGAGGCCGGGAGGUAAGACGUUUCCUACCCAAACAUACCAAAGACGGCACCAGUUCCUCCCAGCCCCCGCCAAGGUCCCUCCAAAAAGAGCAAGGGCAGCGUCACUGCCGUCCUUUUGAGCAGGGAUGAAUCAGCGGAGAGUGUAUAGCAGAAAGGGGCUGGUACUGCUGGAGUCUCUCUGCAGGCACCAACUACAUGAAUGCAUUCAUCACAUCCUGAGAACGCACCCCAGAUUUUUGUUUUUCAUCUAUUGUUAUUACAGGCUGGUUGGUCUUGAAAGGCAGAAAUCAGCCAUCUCUGAUCGAGCUUGUCUCACCUAGUCGGCAAUUCCCGGCUACCAGUGGGGGCUAUAAGGAGCUUUGCUGAUCCUCAGAGGUGCGAGCCCGGCAGAGCCCAUGUGGGAAGCAGUCAGGGUUCACGUCUGCUCCUUGCGUUAUUUCCCAUCUCAGCAAAGCUGUGGAACUGGCAGGUUUAUCACACAGGUGUUGCCAAAGGUCUCGUCUGAAACCGCAUCUCAGCAUAGGUGUGACUGGUGCCACUGGUGGAAAAGUGCCAGCUGGGUUGGAGUGUCCCAGGUGACUUCAGCUGUCUGGAAGGUGACAGAUGGCACGAUUUUCACUUGCUCUUUGAGGCUGUUUGGAGACGCUAAUCAUGGAAAUGGGGCUUUUCGUGUUUAUUUAGAGAAGGACCAUGCUUUAAGCAGUGCUGUGCUCCAGAUCGAGGAGGCCUUCACUGAGUUCAUCAGUCCAUCUCGCAAAGGCUGGUGAGAGACAGGAGAACUACGGAGCAUCCUCUGUGGCUGGUACUGCCGAGGUGCUGCCAGGGGAGCUGGAUGGGAACUUCUCUGCACGGCCUCCAGAAUGCCAGGGCCGGGUGACGGGGUUGCCGUGAUUGUGCCAUGAGUCUUGCAUUGGUUGCAUGUUUUUCUUGGAGUCAGUUCCUGAAAUCACACAAUUAGGUAGGAACGUGUUAUUUAAUUUUCAAGGAAGAAAGUCUGUUUCGGGAUCUCCCUGUCCCUGGACCUUCACAACUGAAGAGAAGUGAGAAGGUUGGAUUACUCAGCUAUUUUGAGCUGUUGGUGUUUUGCAGCCAGAAUCAUGCUUUUAAAAAUGGACAAUAGAAACCUUUCCCCAA